GAUGAACGCUGGCGGCGUGCCUAAUACAUGCAAGUCGAGCGAACAGACGAGGAGCUUGCUCCUCUGACGUUAGCGGCGGACGGGUGAGUAACACGUGGAUAACCUACCUAUAAGACUGGGAUAACUUCGGGAAACCGGAGCUAAUACCGGAUAAUAUAUUGAACCGCAUGGUUCAAUAGUGAAAGACGGUUUUGCUGUCACUUAUAGAUGGAUCCGCGCCGCAUUAGCUAGUUGGUAAGGUAACGGCUUACCAAGGCAACGAUGCGUAGCCGACCUGAGAGGGUGAUCGGCCACACUGGAACUGAGACACGGUCCAGACUCCUACGGGAGGCAGCAGUAGGGAAUCUUACGCAAUGGGCGAAAGCCUGACGGAGCAACGCCGCGUGAGUGAUGAAGGUCUUCGGAUCGUAAAGCGCUGUUAUUAGGGAAGAACAAAUGUGUAAGUAACUGUGCACGUCUUGACGGUACCGAAUCAGAAAGCCACGGCUAACUACGUG
rnacentral:rRNA from 1 species